GACGAACGCUGGCGGCGUGCCUAAUACAUGCAAGUAGAACGCUGAAGGAGGAGCUUGCUUCUCUGGAUGAGUUGCGAACGGGUGAGUAACGCGUAGGUAACCUGCCUGGUAGCGGGGGAUAACUAUUGGAAACGAUAGCUAAUACCGCAUAAUAGCAGUUGUUGCAUGAUAACUGUUUGAAAGGUGCAAUUGCACCACUACCAGAUGGACCUGCGUUGUAUUAGCUAGUUGGUGGGGUAACGGCUCACCAAGGCGACGAUACAUAGCCGACCUGAGAGGGUGAUCGGCCACACUGGGACUGAGACACGGCCCAGACUCCUACGGGAGGCAGCAGUAGGGAAUCUUCGGCAAUGGACGGAAGUCUGACCGAGCAACGCCGCGUGAGUGAAGAAGGGUUUCGGAUCGUAAAGCUCUGUUGUAAGAGAAGAACGAGUGUGAGAGUGGAAAGUUCACACUGUGACGGUAUCUUACCAGAAAGGGACGGCUAACUACGUG
rnacentral:rRNA from 1 species